CGCCUCCACACCUCGCGCGACCUCUUCUCCCUCGCCGCCUCCCGCCUCGACCGCCUCCACCGCCCCGACCUCGCCGCCUCCCUCCUCGACCAGCUCCUCGCCUCCGCCCCGGUCUCCCCCGGCCUCCUCGCGCGCGCCCUCUCCCUCUUCCCGGGCCCGGACGACGCCGUCCGUGCCUUCUCCUCCUCCGCCCCCGCCGCCCGCUCCGAUGUCUCACUCUCCGCCCUCCUCUCCGCGCUUCUACGCGCGGGCCGCAUCGACGACCUCAAGUCAACCUUCAAAUCCGCCGAGUCCUCGCUCGGCGUCGCCCCUGGCCGCGCCUCCCACAACGUGCUCCUCCACGCUCUGGUCAAGAGCUCUGAGCUACCCGCUGCCCGCAAGCUGCUCAACGAAAUGGCCAAGAAGAAGUUUAAGCAUCGCCCGCCCGCGGACAUCAUAUCCUACAAUACUCUCCUCGCUGGGUUCUCCGAGCAGGACGAUGCCGAGGAGUUUGAGAAGCUGCUCAAGGAAAUCAAUGAGAACAAGCUGGAGCCUAAUGUCGUCACAUACAAUUGCCGGAUGCGGUGGUUUGCAAGGAAGGGGGAAACCUUCAAGGGCGAGGAGCUGCUCGAUGUGAUGGAGUCAAAAGGCGUGCUGCCCAAUUACGUUACUUACAAUGCGCUUGUGCAGGGGUACUGCAAGGAGGGGAAUGCCGGGGCCGCCAUGCGAGUAUUCAAGAGGAUGAAGGUGAUGAAGAGGCGGGAGGGGAGGAGUGACUUGGGAGUGUCGGUGCACUCGCAGACAUAUGUCCUGCUGUUUAAGAGUUUGGUAGAGAAGGAAAGGCUUGAUGAUGCACUGUGGCUUUGUAACAGCUGCUUUGCAAUGAAGGCAGCCCCAUCAUUUGAGGCUGUCAAGGGUUUAGUCGAGGGGUUGGUCAAGGGAGGGAGGUCUGCAGAGGCCAAGGGUGUUGUUGCUAAGAUGAGCUUUCUUGUGAAAGGGGAUGCUAAAGUUGCUUGGGAGAAGAUUGCUGGUGAAUUAUCUCUUGAAGAGGGAGCACCAAGUUCAGAUCCAUGA
rnacentral:rRNA from 1 species